rnacentral:rRNA from 1 species
UACGUAGGUGGCAAGCGUUGUCCGGAUUUACUGGGCGUAAAGCGCGCGCAGGCGGGCUGGUCAGUCUGGGGUGAAAUGCCGCGGCUCAACCGUGGAACUGCCUUAGAUACUGUCGGCCUCGAGGAAGGUAGGGGCAUGCGGAACUGUAGGUGGAGCGGUGAAAUGCGUUGAUAUCUACAGGAACUCCGGUGGCGAAAGCGGCGUGCUGGACCUUUUCUGACGCUGAGGCGCGAAAGCUAGGGGAGCAAACGGG